rnacentral:pre_miRNA from 1 species
GCAUGUGGGUCUGAUCUAAAGUCUACUGAAGUCAAUAAGAGCCUUUUCAUUGACUACAAUGGGCUUUGGAUCAGGCACUUACUGGU